rnacentral:tRNA from 1 species
GCCGUGAUCGUCUAGUGGUUAGGACAUUGCGUUGUGACUGCAAUAACCCAGGUUCGAAUCCUGGUCUCGGCA